AAAAAUUUAGCUCUGCAACUCCAAACAGUUUGAAAAUUCCACGCUUUAUUGAUCACUUCAUCAAUGGUACCAAGACUCCCAUGUUGCUUAUCAAUACUGGAAACAAAAAUGCUCAGAUAGGUGUAAAACAUAAACGCUUUCACCAAAACUGGAGAGAUUUCAUUCUUGAGCAUCGACUGCAACACAACGAAACUCUUGUUUUUGUUCCGGAAUAUGAAAAUAUAUUUACAGUUUUAGUUUUCGACGAUACUGGAGUUGAAAAGAUUUUUCCUUGGUAUCACACAUUCAAUAUUUAUUCAAAUGCCUAAUGAAUUUAGCUGGACUAUGCUGUGUAAUCUACCUAUGAAUUAAAUA